rnacentral:rRNA from 1 species
CUCAGAUUGAACGCUGGCGGCAGGCCUAACACAUGCAAGUCGAACGGUAACAGGAAGCAGCUUGCUGCUUUGCUGACGAGUGGCGGACGGGUGAGUAAUGUCUGGGAAACUGCCUGAUGGAGGGGGAUAACUACUGGAAACGGUGGCUAAUACCGCAUAACGUCGCAAGACCAAAGAGGGGGACCUUCGGGCCUCUUGCCAUCAGAUGUGCCCAGAUGGGAUUAGCUAGUUGGUGAGGUAACGGCUCACCAAGGCGACGAUCCCUAGCUGGUCUGAGAGGAUGACCAGCCACACUGGAACUGAGACACGGUCCAGACUCCUACGGGAGGCAGCAGUGGGGAAUAUUGCACAAUGGGCGCAAGCCUGAUGCAGCCAUGCCGCGUGUAUGAAGAAGGCCUUCGGGUUGUAAAGUACUUUCAGCGGGGAGGAAGGUGUUGUGGUUAAUAACC